GUUGAACGCUGGCGGCAUGCCUAACACAUGCAAGUCGAACGGGUAGCGGACGGGUGAGUCAUGUCUGGGAACCUGCCUGAUGGAGGGGUAUAACUACUGGAAAACGUAGCUACUACCGCAUAACGUCGCAUGUGCCCUGAUUGGAUUAGCUAGUCGGGGGGGUAAAGGCUCACCGAGGCAAAGAUCCCUAGCUGGUCUGAGAGGAUGACCAGCCACACUGGAACUGAGACACGGUCCAGCAUCCUACGGGAGGCAGCAGUGGGGAAUAUUGCACAAUGGGCGCAAGCCUGAUGCAGCCAUGCCGCGUGUAUGAAGAAGGCCUUCGGGUUGUAAAGUACUUUCGGCAGAGAAGCGUUACCCGCAGAAGAAGCACCGGCUAACUCCGUGCCAGCAGCCGCGGUAAUAC
rnacentral:rRNA from 1 species